rnacentral:rRNA from 1 species
AUNANUAAGCGGAGCGAAUAAGAAAAUAAACCAUGAUUCCCUCAGUAACGGCGAGCGAAGCGGGAAAAGCCCAGACCAAAAUCUGCAGGUCUCUUGGCCUGUCAGAGAUGUGGUCUUUGCGCCGGGGAUAUGCCAGCGGUGCGAACCUCCUCAAGUUUCUUGGAAAGGGGCCUCCCAGAGAGGGUGCUAGGCCUGUAGGUGGGGGGUUCGUUCGUUGGCGCUUCCACGGCCUUAGAGUCGGGUUGUUUGGGAAUGCAGCCCAAAGACGGUGGUAUGCUCCAUCUAAGGCUAAAUACUAGCACGAGUCCGCAUUG